GGAAGGUUGGCGUCGGACGGGUCCGGCCGCCAACCCGGUCAGGCCCGGAAGGGAGCAGCCGUAACGGUUUCGGUCCGGGUCGUCGUCCAGCCUUCCACC
rnacentral:SRP_RNA from 1 species